rnacentral:rRNA from 1 species
ACGGUAACAGGUCUUCGGAUGCUGACGAGUGGCGGACGGGUGAGUAAUGCGUAGGAAUCUGUCUUUUAGUGGGGGACAACCCAGGGAAACUUGGGCUAAUACCGCAUGAGCCCUGAGGGGGAAAGCGGGGGAUCUUCGGACCUCGCGCUAAGAGAGGAGCCUACGUCCGAUUAGCUAGUUGGCGGGGUAAAGGCCCACCAAGGCGACGAUCGGUAGCUGGUCUGAGAGGACGACCAGCCACACUGGGACUGAGACACGGCCCAGACUCCUACGGGAGGCAGCAGUGGGGAAUUUUUCGCAAUGGGGGCAACCCUGACGAAGCAAUGCCGCGUGGAUGAAGAAGGCCUUCGGGUUGUAAAGUCCUUUCGUGGAGGACGAAAAGGUGGGUUCUAAUACAAUCUGCUAUUGACGUGAAUCCAAGAAGAAGCACCGGCUAACUCCGUG